ACCCAAUCCCAACAGCAUGACCAAUAAUUUCAUUACCUUACAUUAAUUAUUUCUUUUUCAUUAUGGAUGGAAUUAGUUACUGUAUGUGCUUCAGAUAGUUCGGAUGUAGCAUGUUGGUAAAUUACUGCCUUCUUCAUUUUUAUUGCAGUUUUAAAAUGUGGGUUUGGUUAAUUUCGUCUUUGUCCACACUUAGAGUGAAAAUGUUGUCUGUAUUACCUUCUUUUGCUUAAUGGGGUUGAUGUAAAGCUGUACAUAUUCCUCUAAAACGUUCGCUUAUUGUUACUAAUUCGUACCUUAGAUGCAUUCAAUAACUUCGAAUAUUUAUUGUUGAUAUUAUGCAUUGGGAUUUUACCGAGUCUUCACGCUUAUUUUACACGUUUAAAUGAUACUUUACAUAUUUUUAAUUUACUCGUUAGUGGGGUCGGCUUACUGUCUGAAUGAAUAUACACACCGCUCGUUAAAAUAUACUUUUAAAUUCUUAUGUAAUGUAUUUUGUUGUUUAAUAUUAUUUCAGGAGCUAAAAUUAACUGUUCACGUAUUUAAUGCCACCGCUUGUCCUGCAGACCCCGUAAGGUUCCGUCGUUAAACAACAUGGCCGCCUGUCCUAUCUACAAAACUAUAGACAAAUAGUUUCACCAAUUUACCAACUCGUUAUCGUGGACUGCGCAGGAUGGACCCUAGAUAUUCACCAGUAUUAAUAACACCUCCGUAAAUUAGAACGAAAUAAUUAAAAUUCAAGAUGUUUUAUUAUUAUGUUGGCGGCGUCAGGCAGGCUUAUUAUCAGCGGAUCUUAGGCAGCGCUGUUAGUCCGUUACGAAAGUCGAACAAAACUUGGCAGCAGUAUACACAUGAGGCGCAUAUGAGAUUAUAUAUUUAGGUAUAACUUUAUAUAUAUUCACUAGCUAUAUAUAUUUAUAAUUAUAAUGUCUGAUACUGAUUAUGUGUUAGGACAAAUAUACCGUUCGAUGUUUUGGAUUUAUUAUGCAAUACAUUAUUUACGUUGUUUAAUUUAGUAAGGGGUCAGAAAAUAUUUUAUUAUGAACAUGAUUUAUUAUUCUCAUAGUUUGUAUUUCAUUCACAUGUUAGAGUUUAGUACAUAAAUUAUAGGUGUAAGUUGAUUUAUUACGGAGUUCCAAGUGUAAUGUUGAUCUUAUAGAGAAGUGAUAGGUAUGAAAAUGAGCACAAUAAACCGGGCGAUGACUUAGGUUAUUUUAUGAAUAGGUUAACGUUAUUAUUAUCACAUUCAGUGUUUGACAACUUACAGUAAACUAGAUUAAAGUCGGAUAAAACUUUGCAGUAAUUAGAUUAAUGCUUAGAUUAAAUUAUUGUACCGAUAGCAGCUGUGACUACAGCUUAGAUAUUACGGAAUAGUGUUAAGUCGUAGGCUAAUGUUUUAGCUUGUAUUAUUUGGCUAGACUAGGUAGGACCGUAGCCCCUGGUAUUUAGAGUUUGGGCAGGCCGUAGAUUCAGGACGUCCGUAUUUAGACUCCACAAAACGAAUCUGGAAGAAGCCUAAUUUGUUGGCAGGCUUAGACUAAAACUUCUAAAUUCACAGGCGCGGCUUCUCCUCACCGAGCUUAGGAAUGUAGGCAGACAAGCUAGAUAAGUUAUUAUAUUAUUACAUAGGACUGUAAUCAUAAAACGUAGAAGUAUAUUUUCAGUAAUUCUAAGUGAUAAUGGCUGCUAUUGAGAUAUUAUAAUUUGCAAUUAUUGUAAGGUUAUUUAAAGUUACACUUUAGGAAGUAUUUAGAUUUAGUCAAGUCAUUCGCUUCGGAUCACAUGCCCUUGAUUGCAAUUUUCUGCCGAAAACUAAUUCUGAGGAACUCGUUCAAACUAAAUGGAAUCCUAAAAAAUCUAAAUCGAUAAUUUGUGUACGUUAUGAUAAAACUUUAAUAUUUUGUAUUUAAAAUUAAAUUGUAAAUUCGAACGUUUUCUGUAUUAAUUGUUCUGCCCCGAACUUUAAAUUAAUUCUGUUAAAUAGAUAAACUUGAAAAUAACAUCUUUACUUCAUUCAACACAGAAGAAAAACUAUUGACGUCUGUAAAUCGUUGUAAAUUUUAUUAAUAAACCAUUAGUAAAUCGAAAUAUAGCAUUUAUUUAACUUUGUGUAAAUUUUACUAUCCUUGACAUUGACUCUCGUCUUCGUUUAUUGGACUGCAUAUAUUUCGUCACUUGUUUAAAAUUUACUUCUCAACUAGAAAGCAAAUUUUUAAUCAAAUAUCAUUCGAUUUUUACAAACAAAACAACUUAUUUUAUAUAUGUAGAUCUACUGCGAUAGAAAAAGUCAUAAUUAUUUUUCGACUUACAUUCCUCUUGAAUAGGAGAGACAUAGAUAUAAUCUUAACUUAGUUUAUAUCACCUAGUAGUAGAUCUCAUUAGUUAGGAUACCUAGAUAUACCUACAUAGAUAAAUAAGUUAUAUGUAUAGGUAUCUAUAUAUUAUUUAAGAAACGAAUUAUAUAAAACAUAUCUAUUUUAGUUACCUAAACAAAUUAAUUUAGUUUAGAAUACUGAGUUAUAUAAAAUAGGUAGAAUUAUGUACCCUUAAGUUCCUGUAUCUUAGGUACGUUGCAAGUAAUUUUAGGAACCUAAUUUGAAUAGGCAGGUUUUUUUUGUUUUAAAAACAAAUACCUUAUCUUACUGACUUAACAAUACCUUCCCAAAGAAUAUGAUCUAAUCGAUAAAAUUAUAAGUUCUACAAAUUAUUAAGGAAUUUCGAAAAUUACUUAAUUAUUUGGUUUAAUCAAAACUGUAGGGAAAAAUACCACAAGUGCCUUACCUUACUAACACUAUGAUACACUUUAGUAUUGGGGAAUAAUAAUCUAUUGAUUUAUAUCAAUACAGCAAUGUGGGGAAAUAUGCAAUUUUUAUUUAUGUUUUGACUGACUGACAUUGUCGCAUUUUAUCUAGAGGACUGUUCUCCCUUUGAUAUUAAAUAAAUUAAAUUUCUAUUUAAAAUGAGGUUUUUGAAUGAGCAUAGGUAAUUCGACUUACUGACAGACUGACAAUAAUCUCAGUCGAGCCCUCUCAAUUUGUAUCAAAAUCUAUUAUUUAAUUGGCUAGAAACUAGUCCUUUUAUUUUUGUCCCUGAUAGGUCCCUGACUCAGGUAAAAUUCUUAGUAACAGUAAAAAAGAAAAGAAAUAAAAGAAAUUGUAAUCUACUGAGUUUCUUGCCGGUUCUUCUCAGUCGAUAGUAGGUUCCGAACCGGU